CACGUAGGGUGCGAGCGUUGUCCGGAAUUAUUGGGCGUAAAGAGCUCGUAGGCGGUGUGUCGCGUCGGCCGUGAAAACCUGCAGCUUAACUGUGGGCUUGCGGUCGAUACGGGCAUCACUGGAGUUCGGCAGGGGAGACUGGAAUUCCUGGUGUAGCGGUGAAAUGCGCAGAUAUCAGGAGGAACACCGGUGGCGAAGGCGGGUCUCUGGGCCGAUACUGACGCUGAGGAGCGAAAGCCGUGGGGAGCAAACAGG
rnacentral:rRNA from 1 species